CCUACGGGCGGCUGCAGUGGGGAAUAUUGGACAAUGGGGGCAACCCUGAUCCAGCCAUGCCGCGUGUGUGAAGAAGGCCCUCGGGUUGUAAAGCACUUUCAGUGAGGAAGAACGCCUGGUGGUUAAUACCCAUCAGGAAAGACAUCACUCACAGAAGAAGCACCGGCUAACUCCGUGCCAGCAGCCGCGGUAAUACGGAGGGUGCGAGCGUUAAUCGGAAUAACUGGGCGUAAAGCGCGCGUAGGUGGCUUGAUAAGCCGGUUGUGAAAGCCCCGGGCUCAACCUGGGAACGGCAUCCGGAACUGUCAAGCUAGAGUGCAGGAGAGGAAGGUAGAAUUCCCGGUGUAGCGGUGAAAUGCGUAGAGAUCGGGAGGAAUACCAGUGGCGAAGGCGGCCUUCUGGACUGACACUGACACUGAGGUGCGAAAGCGUGGGUAGCAAACAGGAUUAGAUACCCCUGUAGUC
rnacentral:rRNA from 1 species